GGGUUUUUUUUCCUGAGUAGGAAGUAGAGGCGAAUUUGGAGGGGGAGGGGUCUCCAUCCUCAUCCCCGGAAGAGAAGCGGACGAGGAGAAAGAGUGCAUCGUGGCAACAGCUGAGAGAGUCCCAGAAGUGGCCUGGUUUAUGAUUCCUCCUCCUCCUCCGUCUUUUCCACUGACAACGCAAUGGUCUCUGAUACACCCUCUGAACGGUCUCUUUUUAAAGAUGGAGUGGAAAGAGGAGCCAGGCAGCUUCCUCAGGCCCUCUUGACCUUUGAGGAGGUGGCUGUGUUUUUUACGGAGGAGGAGU